ACUGCAGAGGGAUAGCUUAGUCAGUAGAGAAUGAGACUCUUAAUCUCAGGGUUGUGGGUUCGAGCCCCACAUUCCAGGG